CCAAAACCGACAGGCUGGGUGAAGAGGACAUAGCUGUGGGUUAGCAACCCUGCAAGGCAAAUCUGUUGUAAAGCUUUGUGCUGAGAGCUUUUCACAGAGCUUAGUGUAACUUCGCUGGAAAGUUGCAUAAGUUGUUGGUGGUUUGUUUGUUGGGUUUUUUUUUUUUUUUUUGGGGGGGGGGGGAAAGAAAAAAAAGCACCAAAAAAAACCCCAACCGCGCUGAAGUCAACAGUAAUUUGCUCUGUCGCUGGUUCGCGGCACUCCCUACCCGCCUGCUUUGGAAAGGCCGCGGGGAAAGGCGUCCCGUGGGCGGGCAGGGCAGGGGCGGCCCGCGGGGAGCCGGGCGCGGCGCGGCGGAGCCCCAGAGCCGCGCGGACAUGGACUGCGGAGUCAUCACCUCCAAGAGCGUGCUGCUGCUGCUCAGCCUCGCCUUCUGGGCAGUCUACAACCACGUUUUGUGACUGGAAGCAAAUGGAGCCGCACGGCGAGGGCAUUGUACAAGGGCUCUGCUCCGUAUUUGGGGCGAGGACACUUUUGGGGAGGAAAACUGCUGAGAACUUUGUUCCAGCUAUGUCCUUGGCACAGCUACGGCUUUCCAAAUCACUUCCGCGGUAAUUAUUUACAAGCAAGUGAGAAAAUGAGGGUGGUUUGUCUACUUUUUAGCCUAACCCGCGCUGUUUUUGGGGGUGUCGGCAUCGGAGGCUCGUGGCACGGCUGCCCCGUAACAGUGGCAGCCUCGUGGGUGUUCGGAAAAGUGGGGAUUGUUCUGGUAAGCAGGCUCGGGCAUUGCCCCUGUAUGGGGAAGUUUGGGAAGCCCCCCACCAUCACCACGGACUGCCCUGGGACUGAGCAUUCCCAGGGAUGCUCCAACCUGCCAGGGCCUGGAGCUGCUCGGCCCGGGCUGGGCUCAGCAUGGCAGUGUCCCUUCUUCUGGGUGUAGCAGGGGCUCUUCCUCAAGAGAACCAGAGUUUUCCAAACAGAGACAUGAGGAGAGGAAAAAAAAAUAAAGCAAAAGAAGGAAUCCUGCUCGAAUUGAUC
rnacentral:lncRNA from 1 species